rnacentral:rRNA from 1 species
UUAGCGGCGGACGGGUGAGUAACACGUGGGCAACCUGCCUGUAAGACUGGGAUAACUUCGGGAAACCGAAGCUAAUACCGGAUAGUGAUCUUCUCCUUCAUGGCGAGAUGAUUGAAAGAUGGUUUCGGCUAUCACUUACAGAUGGGCCC